UGUUAUGUUAUGAGAGGUGUAAUAUGAUUCUCAUCAUAUUAGAAUUAUAAUGUCAUUGUUGGCACCUUUGAAUGUGGAGCGGGCAGCGUGUGUCGCUGUCAUUGGUUGGAAAGAGGUGUAGAUACGGGUUGUAUUCCAGUUACUGUAUAAUUGUUAUUGGCAUAUAUGACAAGAAUUGUAAUUAUUAUUGAGAUACAUAUAUUGUUUUCUUACUUAUUAACAAGUUUGGUAUUGGUUAGUAAUGUGUAUUUGUUUGUCAAGAGGAAGUUUUCUUUUAGGGUCUGUGUAUGUAACACGGAUAUUAUUAUACCGCACUCAGGUUGUAGGGGGAAGGUAGACAGAGGUACAGUUGGUGCCUGUCAGGGGUGAGUGGCGGUUGUUUGACUGAGGUGAGUUUUGUGAUAACAUUAUUUCUCUGAUUUGUUUGACUUAUGUUAUGCCGCUGAUUGUGCAUAUUGGUUGGUGUUAUAUUGAAUGCGGUGCUGAUAGGAGGAUUUGAUUAAGUGUAACUUUGCAGCAUAGUUGGGGUAAUGCUGUAAUCAGACAUAUGGUGAAGUCUGCCUUGGCUGAUUAUGGGCGGUCAUUUUGAGUGCCGAUGUAAAGGACUGGCUUGUGAGAAAUCCUGAGCCUCCUGUAAGAUCAAGACCAAGAUCAAGAUAGGGCCUUCCGUAGGUCCGCUUUCUGAAGCACAGUGUCAACAUGUCUCCUCUAAUUUAAAAAUUCUGAAGCACAUCCCUUUUUUUUCAAUUCCCUCAACGAUGACAGUAAUGCCUGACAGUUUUAAGCGCAGUGCAUCCCAUCAGUGGCAUUGGUGCAGUCACCCCUUCCGUCAACGCAGUCUUCGAGGAGAUCAACGCAGUGACGGAUGGAGUGCACCCUCCCUGCACAUAUGCUGCCAUGCAUAGCCGCCUCCUCCUCUCCAUGAAGCACCUCCUGCACCGCUGGCCUCUCCAUCGACAACUUCUUCCAUACAUUAGCUUGGAUCAGCAGAGGAGUCGACACCACACAGCUCUGCGCUCUUCCCCUGUGACUCAGCAACACUGCGCUGACACUGUCUGUCAGAUGAAGGAAGGAGACAGCAAGCGAGGGGUUGAGGCUUCAGGGAGUUUUGACUCGUUAAGCAGGAUGGAUAUAAACCAGCCUCCAGCCAUUCAGCCUCCAGCCACUCAGCCAGCCAGCCAGCCUCUAUCCAGUCAGCCAGCCAGCCAGCCAGCCUCGAGCCAACCAGCCAGCCAUCAACCCAGCCAGCCACCUAUCCAGCCUCAAGGUGUCACGUAGCCUCACGUGACAUGAAGACACUGUUUGGAAUUGCUGUUGGGGAAAGUAGCUGGAGCAGAGAUGCAUUCCACGUGACUGCCGCGUAAGGAGACGAGUCUGGUACGCACGCCCACGCCCACAGCUCUCCUCUCUGCCGCCUGACCGGCGCAGGAACGAGCCACUCAGCCCCUCUUGCCGGCUCCCACAGGCAUCAUCAUUAUUAAGACUCGGAAUUUUUUUGUAUUCGUGGCAUAAAAGACCAUGUUUUUUUUUUCGUUUUUUUUUGUAUUUACGCUCAAUAAAUGACUAAGAUUGCUUGUAAUU